UAGUCCACGCCGUAAACGAUGAGCACUAGGUGUCGGGGUCGCAAGACUUCGGUGCCGCAGUUAACGCAUUAAGUGCUCCGCCUGGGGAGUACGCACGCAAGUGUGAAACUCAAAGGAAUUGACGGGGACCCGCACAAGCAGCGGAGCAUGUGGUUUAAUUCGAAGCAACGCGAAGAACCUUACCAGGACUUGACAUCCCUCUGACAGCUCCUUAAUCGGAGCCUUCUUCGGACAGAGGAGAC
rnacentral:rRNA from 1 species